CAAAGGCACGAGCGGCUCCUGCCACGUAUUCCUCCCGGCCGCGGCGGUGAGGCAGGAAGCCGAGGUCAGUGGGUCAAGAAGAAGAACUCUGGUCUACCUAGAAUCUCCUGGGUUUUCUGGCUGGUGUACACCCAGAAAGCGGCAAGUCCAAAAGCAAAAGAGUGAGACCAUUCUCAACAGCCCUCUCUGGGAAAGCUUUCCUGGGUCCUCUGGUAAGGAUGAGGCAGCUCAAAGGGAAACCCAAAAAGGAGACUUCCAGAGAUAAGAAGGAACGCAAGCAAGCCAUGCAGGAGGCCCGGCAGCAGAUCACCACCGUCGUGCUGCCCACGCUGGCUGUGGUGGUGGUCCUCAUAGUGGUAUUUGUCUAUGUUGCUACCCGCCCCACCACCACUGAAUGAGCCAUGUCCUGCCCUACCACAAGACUGCAGGGGACUAGAUCCAGAGAGGAAAAAGGAAGCAGAAAAGCCAAAAAGAAAAAAAAGAGAUUGCUCUCCAUUUUCAGAGACUUUAAUGACACUGAGCCUGAAGCAAGAGCUCCUUGUCUCCUUUGGCCUUGAGCUUGAUUAAAGUUUCUCAGUUCUCUUGGAAUGUAAUAGGAAAUGUAUUAUCAGUGAAUGUGCCAUACACCUUAUGGUCCACUUCAUGUGCCUUUCAGACUUAAAAAAGGGGUGUUUCUUUCUAAAACCGAUGUAUACAUAGCUCCAUUGGGAGAAAGGAGAAAUCUGCCGUGCCAUAAAUCUGUAUGAAUCAACUUUCCACUCAUCCCUGCCAUUUAGACCUUAGUUCUUAUGAUCUUACAUCUGUGUGCUUCACCACUUCCAAAGGGACUCUAUGUCUCUGUGCUUCAUGUGAUUUGAAAUAUAUCAACUCAAAGGUGAAAUAUUUAUUUUUGGAAUAAAGGAGAUGAUAGCCUUAAA